CGUACACGAGCAAGCGAAAUACAAACAAGUGAGGAGGAUUGUUGGGAGGGUAUGAGCAGAUAUGACGUUAACAAGUCACGUGACUUCCUGCGUUCUCCGCUCACUCCGCUUUUCAACGGGGAGCAGACUGAACUGCUCUUCGCUGCUCUCAGCGCAGCAAAAGCGCUCUCGCUCUACCAAUGGAUGACGGUGCUCCAACUCCUGUUCGACCACUGAAACACGCCGGCUCUGAAGAGAGCACUUUCAGCGUGCUUUUGAGUGCUCCUGCUCUCCCAAUGGAAUUCGCCAUAAAGCAUCACAAAUAUU
rnacentral:lncRNA from 1 species